GACGAACGCUGGCGGCGUGCUUAACACAUGCAAGUCGAACGGAAAGGCCCUGCUUUUGUGGGGUGCUCGAGUGGCGAACGGGUGAGUAACACGUGAGUAACCUGCCCUUGACUUUGGGAUAACUUCAGGAAACUGGGGCUAUACCGGAUAGGAGCUCCUGCUGCAUGGGGGGGGGUGGAAAGUUUCGGCGGUUGGGGAUGGACUCGCGGCUUAUCAGCUUGUUGGUGGGGUAGUGGCUUACCAAGGCUUUGACGGGUAGCCGGCCUGAGAGGGUGACCGGCCACAUUGGGACUGAGAUACGGCCCAGACUCCUACGGGAGGCAGCAGUGGGGAAUAUUGCACAAUGGGCGGAAGCCUGAUGCAGCAACGCCGCGUGCGGGAUGACGGCCUUCGGGUUGUAAACCGCUUUCGCCUGUGACGAAGCGUGAGUGACGGUAAUGGGUAAAGAAGCACCGGCUAACUACGUG
rnacentral:rRNA from 1 species